UCUCGAUAGCGUAACAGUUAACCCGAUUUUGUAUGAAGUUGGAACGUUUGCCUAGGUUUGCCGCUAGGGGCGCUGAUCCAACUUCAUACAUAUUUGAGUUGACUUUUACGCUAUCGA
rnacentral:pre_miRNA from 9 species